rnacentral:rRNA from 1 species
ACGGAGGAUGCGAGCGUUAUCCGGAUUCAUUGGGUUUAAAGGGUGCGUAGGCGGUUUCUUAAGUCAGUGGUGAAAUCCUGCGGCUCAACCGUAGAACUGCCAUUGAUACUGAGAAACUUGAAUACAAUUGAGGUAGGCGGAAUGAGUAGUGUAGCGGUGAAAUGCUUAGAUAUUACUCAGAACACCAAUUGCGAAGGCAGCUUACUAAACUGUAAUUGACGCUGAUGCACGAAAGCGUGGGGAGCGAACAGG